rnacentral:rRNA from 1 species
GACGAACGCUGGCGGCGUGCUUAACACAUGCAAGUCGAACGGAAAGGCCCUGCUUUUGUGGGGUGCCCGAGUGGCGAACGGGUGAGUAACACGUGAGUAACCUGCCCUUGACUUUGGGAUAACUUCAGGAAACUGGGGCUAAUACCGGAUAGGAGCUCCUGCUGCAUGGUGGGGGUUGGAAAGUUUCGGCGGUUGGGGAUGGACUCGCGGCUUAUCAGCUUGUUGGUGGGGUAGUGUCUUACCAAGGCUUUGACGGGUAGCCGGCCUGAGAGGGUGACCGGCCACAUUGGGACUGAGAUACGGCCCAGACUCCUACGGGAGGCAGCAGUGGGGAAUAUUGCACAAUGGGCGGAAGCCUGAUGCAGCAACGCCGCGUGCGGGAUGACGGCCUUCGGGUUGUAAACCGCUUUCGCCUGUGACGAAGCGUGAGUGACGGUAAUGGGUAAAGAAGCACCGGCUAACUACGUG